CGUGGGUAACCUACCUCAUAGUGGGGGAUAACAGUCGGAAACGACUGCUAAUACCGCAUAGGACAUGGAAUCACAUGAUUCCGUGAGGAAAGGUGGCGCAAGCUAUCGCUAAGAGAUGGACCCGCGGUGCAUUAGCUAGUUGGUAGGGUAAAGGCCUACCAAGGCGAUGAUGCAUAGCCGACCUGAGAGGGUGAUCGGCCACAUUGGGACUGAGACACGGCCCAA
rnacentral:rRNA from 1 species